rnacentral:rRNA from 1 species
CAAUAGCGUGUAUUAAAGUUGUUGCAGUUAAAAAGCUCGUAGUUGGAUUUCGGGAUGGCCCGGCCGGUCUGCCGCAAGGUAUGUUACUGGCCGAGCUGUUCUUCUUCGCAAAGACUGUGUGUGCUCUUAACUGAGUGUGCUCAGGAUCUGUGACGUUUACUUUGAAAAAAUUAGAGUGUUCAAAGCAAGCCAGCGCUUGAAUACAUAAGCAUGGAAUAAUGGAAUAGGACUUUGGUUCUAUUUUGUUGGUUUCUGGAACCUUAGUAAUGAUUAAGAGAGACAGUUGGGGGCAUUCGUAUUUCGUUGUCAGAGGUGAAAUUCUUGGAUUUACGAAAGACGAACUACUGCGAAAGCAUUUGCCAAGAAUGUUUUCAUUAA